rnacentral:misc_RNA from 1 species
AAGGAGCACCAACUGGCCGAGGUCGCUUCUUCACCGAAGAGCCCGGGUCGGUGGCCAUCAUUGACGGCGAAUGUUCGUCAGGUGGCUGCUCAUAGAUGUGGAGCACUGGCUACUCAGCUCACCGCCCGUGUGAGCCGGCAAGUACCGCCCCUUGAAGGUCUUCGGACCGGCCGGGGGAGUGGGAACGACGGUGUCGGGUGGGUGGCGGGUUGGACACGCUGUUGGGUCCUGAGGAAACGGGCGUUGAGCCCGGUGGCUCGGACUGCGGGACCAGGACCGCUUCACCUGCUAUGGGUGGGGCCGGUUCUGGUGGGCCCGGUUGUUUUUUGAGAACUGCACAGUGGACGCGAGCAUCUCUGGUAGACGGAUGAGAUGCCCGGUGGACGCGAAGCAUCUCUGGUAGACGAAUGAAGAAUGCCCGGUGGGCGCAUCUUCGGGGUGUGUUCCCCUUUUCGGUGUUUUUGUUCGUUUAUCUGCGAUUUGUUUUGAUCGUUUUGU